UACGAAGGGGGCUAGCGUUGCACGGAAUCACUGGGCGUAAAGCGCACGUAGGCGGCUUUGUAAGUUAGAGGUGAAAGCCCGGGGCUCAACCCCGGAAUUGCCUUUAAGACUGCAUCGCUUGAAUCCGGGAGAGGUGAGUGGAAUUCCGAGUGUAGAGGUGAAAUUCGUAGAUAUUCGGAAGAACACCAGUGGCGAAGGCGGCUCACUGGACCGGUAUUGACGCUGAGGUGCGAAAGCGUGGGGAGCAAACAGG
rnacentral:rRNA from 1 species